rnacentral:RNase_P_RNA from 1 species
CGUUCGCGUAAUAUCAUACCGAAAGGUCUUAUUACGAGGAAAGUCCGGGCUUCACACGGGCAGGAUAACGGAUAACGUCCGCCGGAGGCGACUCCCGGGAAAGUGCAACAGAAAUAAACCGCCCGCGUAAAACGCGCGGGUAAGGAUGGAAAGGCGAGGUAAGAGCUCACCGGCACACUGGCAACUUUUGUGCAAAUGUAAACCCUAUCCGAAGCAACACCGUAUUUGAAAUGACGUAAAAGUCAGCGGCUGCCCGCCGUUUUUUCAAGGGUGGCGCGGGGCGUAUGCUCCGAAGGCGCGCAGCGAUGCGCGUCGCAGAUAGAUGAACGCGGCGAGAGUAUCUCUCGAACAGAACCCGGCUUAUAAGUUGU